rnacentral:rRNA from 1 species
ACGAACGCUGGCGGCGUGCCUAAUACAUGCAAGUCGAGCGGAAUGAUGAAGAAGCUUGCUUCUUCUGAUUUUAGCGGCGGACGGGUGAGUAACACGUGGGCAACCUACCUUGUAGAUUGGGAUAACUCCGGGAAACCGGGGCUAAUACCGAAUAAUCCAUUUUGCUUCAUGGCGAGAUGUUGAAAGACGGUUUCGGCUGUCACUACAAGAUGGGCCCGCGGCGCAUUAGCUAGUUGGUAGGGUAAUGGCCUACCAAGGCGACGAUGCGUAGCCGACCUGAGAGGGUGAUCGGCCACACUGGGACUGAGACACGGCCCAGACUCCUACGGGAGGCAGCAAUAGGGAAUCUUCCACAAUGGACGAAAGUCUGAUGGAGCAACGCCGCGUGAGUGAAGAAGGUUUUCGGAUCGUAAAACUCUGUUGUAAGGGAAGAACACGUACGAGAGUAACUGCUCGUACCUUGACGGUACCUUAUUAGAAAGCCACGGCUAACUACGUG